UUUCAUAACCAUUCAGAGUAUCACCAAAACAGAGACUGUCUUCUGCCCCUGAAUGAGCAUGAGAAAAGCCUUUCCUAGACAACCAUUGCACCUGUCUCCUAACAUCCAUUAAAAGGUCACACUCAAUGGUUAUAUCAGGCUGCAAUAUAAGGCUGAGUACUUAUCUAUGCCAAGCUGAGGCCAGCUAUAACCAACCUGACUCAGCAGCAGGAGAGUGACUGUAUGCUCUUCUAGGACUUGGAGAACAUUAUUACACUUCCUAUCCAUGGAAAUAUCUAACAGAUGCCAUGUCUUCUCUGAGAAGGCUUUCUACAGAUCAAUCCUCCACUGAGUUUUCUUAGGAUUUUAUGCAUUGUACACUCAAGUUUCCACUAUGAUAGCUGGCUGAUGUCUCUCAGAAUUGUCUCCAUGAUCAGCUGUUUAGGGUGAGGCCAAUCACAGCACUGCAUGCCAUUGUAAAUCAUUUGACAGAACCUGGAGUCAUCUUUGGUUGUCAUGAUGGGAGGAUGCAGGAGGAUGGAAGGAGUUAUGUGAUCUGUACCUGGCGUGAAGAUAACAAGGAUAUUGAUACACAGCACAGCACAGCCCACUCACUGAACAUAUCCCUACCCUCCCCAAGCCAGCAGUAACAAGGUUGAAAAACCCUGAGGUACAACGUAAAUAUAUGCAAUUUCUGGGGAGACUGGCAGUCCUUUCAUAUCUACUUGGUCUGUUAGAUGGGAAUCCAAUUUGAAGAUAUUUGAUAAGGACUAUGAUCUGUCACCUGG
rnacentral:lncRNA from 1 species